CCUACGGGAGGCUGCAGUGGGGAAUAUUGCACAAUGGGGGAAACACUGAUGCAGCGAAGCCGCGUGAGUGAAGAAGUUUUUCGGUAUGUAAAGCUCUAUCAGCCGGGGAGCAAAUGACGGUACCUGAUUAAGAAGCACCGGCUAACUACGUGCCAGCUGCCGCGGUACUGCGGAGGGGGCAAGCGUUAUCCGGAUUUACUGGGUGUAAAGGGGGCGUAGACGGCAGCACAAGUCUGGAGUGAAAUGCCGGGGCUUAACCCCGGAACUGCUUUGGAAACUGGGCAGCUAGAGUGCAGGAGAGGUAAGUGGAAUUCCUAGUGUAGCGGUGAAAUGCGUAGAUAUGAGGAGGAACACCAGUGGCGAAGGCGGCUUACUGGACGGUAACUGACGUUGAGGCACGAAAGCGUGGGGAGCAAACAGGAUUAGAUACCCGUGUAGUC
rnacentral:rRNA from 1 species